UGAUAGAUUAUAGAGAUAGGAGCCUCAGAUUUGCGACGCAUGGAUACACGCCAAGUGACCAUCCCUCAUUUAACGGUCACUUUUUCCCUCGUUUAGCUUUCCCUCCCUCUUUCCUUUUCUCAUUGAUUUUUCUGUGGGUUUCUUUUCUUGCGAAGAUCUCUUCGCUAAUUUCAUUAAUUCUUGACUAAAAACCUUUCUUGAAAUUCCAAUUUCCUUUUGAAAUUUGGGUUUACGACAAUUUUGCUUGUAAAUGCCAUGUUUUUCCCUUUUCGAAUCCCAACUUUCUUUAUUGUUACAAAAUAAAACAUGUUUCUUCUUUUUUACUAAACAUCAAUUGGGGUUUUUCGUUAGAUUUUUUUUUUUUUAUAAUUUUACAAAGAUUCUCGAAUUUUUCUGUAAACUUUCUUUAGAUUUUAUAAUUUUGACAAAGAUUUUGUGAAAUUGGUUUUAUUUUCCGGUCUGGAUUUUCUUUAUUUACUGUUUUUUUUUUUUUUGUGUUGUGUAAAUUUACCUGGUGCUGUGGAUGAUCUUGAUUGUCGGUUAGUCAGUUCAGAGUUGAAUCCAAACAAUUGUGGUCUAACACAGAUUGAGCCAAAUGCCAAUCACAAACACUUGGUGGAAAGAUAGGGGUUGUUGGUUAUGCUCCCUUGUUUUAAUUCAACUCUGUUCUUGCAGAUCCAAGUCUUGCUGAGGUAACUGCACCAUUGUUGGACUUUGGGGAGUGGGUAUGGAUCCGUGUUUCUCUAGCUAUUGGUUCGUUAAUAAUGUACUAUCUCAAUUUUUGGUACAUGGCAUUAUGUCACGUUCUUCUGUUUAAAUCAAACUUUCUUUGUUUUGUCAUGUUCUCCAAUGUUGCUUGAAACAAAAAAUGGAUGCUGAUUCUGGGUUUUAGAUUUCUCGUUGUAUUGUUGUGGAGAUCACGCUAGUUAUUGUCAAAAUAUUCAUCAAAAAAUUUUAUGAUAUUAUCUCAUAAAAAAUAUUUUAUAAAUUUAAAUUUAUAUAUAUAUAUAUAUAUCAUGACAUAUCUUAAAAAUUUUUUAAUUUGAGAUUUGGGUAUCUCAUUUGUAGAUCAAGCACGACUUCAUCCCGCUGACUGCUGAGAUCUACUUUGUUCAUGUGCAACUUUUUAUUCAAUUACAUCUGAAUUUUAGUCACUAAUCUAAGUGUUUUACUUUUGUUUCGAUGGGCGUGACUCAUGAUUACAUGAAUCUGUAAUAUUAAAUCUGUGGAUCCGUUUCACAUUGAUUGAUUUUACUUAUUAAUUUAAUGGCUGCAAGUGAUCAAAUGUUAAGAAAAAUAAAAUAUAAUAAGUAUUUUUCAUUUUGUUUUGGUUCGGAGAUUAGAAUUGAUGUU